rnacentral:rRNA from 1 species
CGUGGGGGCGUGCCUAAUACAUGCAAGUCGAACGAACUCUGGUAUUGAUUGGUGCUUGCAUCAUGAUUUACAUUUGAGUGAGUGGCGAACUGGUGAGUAACACGUGGGAAACCUGCCCAGAAGCGGGGGAUAACACCUGGAAACAGAUGCUAAUACCGCAUAACAACUUGGACCGCAUGGUCCGAGUUUGAAAGAUGGCUUCGGCUAUCACUUUUGGAUGGUCCCGCGGCGUAUUAGCUAGAUGGUGGGGUAACGGCUCACCAUGGCAAUGAUACGUAGCCGACCUGAGAGGGUAAUCGGCCACAUUGGGACUGAGACACGGCCCAAACUCCUACGGGAGGCAGCAGUAGGGAAUCUUCCACAAUGGACGAAAGUCUGAUGGAGCAACGCCGCGUGAGUGAAGAAGGGUUUCGGCUCGUAAAACUCUGUUGUUAAAGAAGAACAUAUCUGAGAGUAACUGUUCAGGUAUUGACGGUAUUUAACCAGAAAGCCACGGCUAACUACGUGCCAGCAGCCGCGGUAAUACGUAGGUGGCAAGCGUUGUCCGGAUUUAUUGGGCGUAAAGCGAGCGCAGGCGGUUUUUUAAGUCUGAUGUGAAAGCCUUCGGCUCAACCGAAGAAGUGCAUCGGAAACUGGGAAACUUGAGUGCAGAAGAGGACAGUGGAACUCCAUGUGUAGCGGUGAAAUGCGUAGAUAUAUGGAAGAACACCAGUGGCGAAGGCGGCUGUCUGGUCUGUAACUGACGCUGAGGCUCGAAAGUAUGGGUAGCAAACAGGAUUAGAUACCCUGGUAGUCCAUACCGUAAACGAUGAAUGCUAAGUGUUGGAGGGUUUCCGCCCUUCAGUGCUGCAGCUAACGCAUUAAGCAUUCCGCCUGGGGAGUACGGCCGCAAGGCUGAAACUCAAAGGAAUUGACGGGGGCCCGCACAAGCGGUGGAGCAUGUGGUUUAAUUCGAAGCUACGCGAAGAACCUUACCAGGUCUUGACAUACUAUGCAAAUCUAAGAGAUUAGACGUUCCCUUCGGGGACAUGGAUACAGGUGGUGCAUGGUUGUCGUCAGCUCGUGUCGUGAGAUGUUGGGUUAAGUCCCGCAACGAGCGCAACCCUUAUUAUCAGUUGCCAGCAUUAAGUUGGGCACUCUGGUGAGACUGCCGGUGACAAACCGGAGGAAGGUGGGGAUGACGUCAAAUCAUCAUGCCCCUUAUGACCUGGGCUACACACGUGCUACAAUGGAUGGUACAACGAGUUGCGAACUCGCGAGAGUAAGCUAAUCUCUUAAAGCCAUUCUCAGUUCGGAUUGUAGGCUGCAACUCGCCUACAUGAAGUCGGAAUCGCUAGUAAUCGCGGAUCAGCAUGCCGCGGUGAAUACGUUCCCGGGCCUUGUACACACCGCCCGUCACACCAUGAGAGUUUGUAACACCCAAAGUCGGUGGGGUAACCUUUUAGGAACCAGCCGCCUAAGGGGACAAAU